rnacentral:rRNA from 1 species
AAGGUUAAGCGGAAAAAGCGGAGCCGUAGCGAAAGCGAGUCUGAAUAGGGCGCAUAAGUAACAGGUCGUAGACCCGAAACCAGGUGAUCUACCCAUGUCCAGGAUGAAGGUAAGGUAAUACUUACUGGAGGUCCGAACCCACGCACGUUGAAAAGUGCGGGGAUGAGGUGUGGGUAGCGGAGAAAUUCCAAUCGAACUUGGAGAUAGCUGGUUCUCUCCGAAAUAGCUUUAGGGCUAGCCUCGAGGUAAAGAGUCAUGGAGGUAGAGCACUGUUUGGACUAGGGGCCCUUCUCGGGUUACCGAAUUCAGAUAAACUCCGAAUGCCAUGUACUUAUACUCGGGAGUCAGACUGCGAGUGAUAAGAUCCGUAGUCGAAAGGGAAACAGCCCAGACCACCAGUUAAGGUCCCCAAAUAUAUGUUAAGUGGAAAAGGAUGUGGGGUUGCUUAGACAACCAGGAUGUUGGCUUAGAAGCAGCCACCAUUGAAAGAGUGCGUAAUAGCUCACUGGUCGAGUGACCCCGCGCCGAAAAUGUACCGGGGCUAAACAUAUUACCGAAACUGUGGAUGAACCUCUUUAGAGGUUCGUGGUAGGAGAGCGUUCUAAGGGCGGUGAAGUCAGACCGGAAGGACUGGUGGAGCGCUUAGAAGUGAGAAUGCCGGUAUGAGUAGCGAAAGAAGGGUGAGAAUCCCUUCCACCGAAUAUCUAAGGUUUCCUGAGGAAGGCUCGUCCGCUC